AUUGAACGCUGGCGGCAGGCUUAACACAUGCAAGUCGAACGAGUGGCGGACGGGUGAGUAAUGCGUGGGAAUCUGGCUUAUGGAGGGGGAUCACGACGGGAAACUGUCGCAAAUACCGCGUCCCAUGGGGUGAGCAGACGGGGGAUUAGGUAGUUGGGGGGGUAAUGGCCUACCAAGGCGACGAUCUCUAGGUGGUCUGAGAGGAUGACCAGCCACACCGGGACUGAGACACGGCCCGGACUCCGACGGGAGGCAGCAGUGGGGAAUAUUGCACAAUGGGGGCAAGCCUGAUGCAGCCAUGCCGCGUGAAUGAAGAAGGCCUUCGGGUUGUAAAGCACUUUCGGUGAGGAGGCGUUAAUCACAGAAGAAGCACCGGCUAACUCCGUGCCAGCAGCCGCGGUAAUAC
rnacentral:rRNA from 1 species